CUCUGAGGGCAGGACCCUGCUGGACCCAUUGCUUCUCCUCCUGUCUCUCUCUUCUUGGUUUGCACCCUCUCUGUGCAUUGCCCACACCCCCACUUGGAAGAGCUGAGAUGGCCAGAGAAGGAGCCUUUCACCUUUGCCUCUGGGCACUCCUUGCCUUGCCAGGUGUCAGAGCUGUGAAAGUGGAGACGUUUGUGGAGCUGGACUUCUUCCAGGAGAGCUUCCCGUCGGAGCAGAAGUCCGGGGAGUUCCUGCAGGGCAUGAACGGGGAGGAGUUCUUCCACGUGGACUGGGACAAGAGGCAGAACGUCUGGAGGCUGCCCAACAUCCCCAACUACUUUGGCUUUGACGCGCAGGGCGCUGUGGGCAACAUGGACAUCAUGAAGAACAACAUGGAGGUCCUGAUCAAGCGCAGCAACCGCAGCCAGACCCCCAAUGCUCCUCCUACAGCCACCGUGUUCCCCAAAAACCCUGUGGAAAUGGGGGACCCCAACGUGCUUGUCUGCUUCGUGGACCAGUUCUUCCCCCCAGUGCUGAACAUCACCUGGCUGAAGAACGGGGAGGAGGUUUCCCAGGGCGUGACGGACACAGACUUCUUCCCCAGUGCGGACAACGCCUUCCGCAAGUUCUCCUACCUGGCCUUUGUCCCGCAGCAUGGAGAUGUCUACGUCUGCCAAGUGGAGCACUGGGGCCUCCCUCAGAGCCUGGCCAAGCUGUGGCACUCCAAGGAGCCGACGCUCAUCCCAGAGACGAAGGAGAACGUAGUGUGUGGCCUGGGCUUGGCCAUGGGCCUCCUGGGCAUCAUCGCUGGCACCGUCCUUUUCAUCAAGGCCAGGAGGAUGAACGGCAUCAACCAGCGCAGGGGCCCCCUGUGAGUCCAUUGCUCAGAAGAAGGAAGGCCUCUCCUGCCCAAAAGGCUUUGCCAGAUAAUGGAGGAGCAUCCGGAAGACCAGCUCCUUCCCCCGACAGCCACUCUGCAAAUUGCAGAACUGCGUCUCUCGCUCCGUCCCUUGUCAAGGCUUUGCUCAACCAACCUGGUCCUUGAUGUCGGUCCUGGUCUGCUUCUUUCCAUACCAGGGACCUUUGCACCGCUGAUUCAUGGCUCUUCUGCACUUAGAUGGAAGGGGAAUUAAGACUCCGACUCACCAGGCACAUCCUUUAGUGUUAUUGACAUGGAUUUUAAGAAUAAAACCAUCCUUCUUGGCUUAUUCCAUUAGAUUCAAACAUGGCCUAGGAAAUGAUGACCUUCUGUCUAUCACCUUUUCAGCUGAAACUUUAUGCUUGCAUUUUCCAGGAUAUAUUUAGGAUGUCGUUAGCUAACUUGUGUUCUCUGCUCCUCAAACAGAAAGAUUAGAGAAGGAAUUUAUAUCUACCUGAAAGGGGUGAAUUAUUUCUCUGAGUUAGAAUAAAAACAGAUCAAAGAAGCAGCAGCAAAAAGCUGAAUGGGAGAAGAGGUUUUCUAUUAAGAGAGGUGUGGGACAUUGACAUGUUUCUAAGUUAUGAUUUCUAUAUAGUCAUGAGGAAUCUUAGGAUAUAAGAGUUAGACUCCCAGAUCCGGAGCCAGGUUGCUUAUUAGCACUUCACCUGAUUCUCUUUUCCAGUUCGUAAGUUUGUAAAUGCUGCUUGAAAUUAUCUUUCAUUUAAAGCCCUUUGUAAUCAGUGCUAUGCUUUUGUUUUUGUCUAUGAUUAAGUCUGUAUAUGCUGUACUAAAAGGUAUAUAAAUAAACUAGCAUUUUAAUAUAA